UACGUAGGGGGCAAGCGUUGUUCGGAUUCAUUGGGCGUAAAGGGUGCGUAGGCGGCGCGGUAAGUCGGGUGUGAAAUCUCGGAGCUUAACUCCGAAACUGCAUUCGAUACUGCCGUGCUUGAGGACUGGAGAGGAGACUGGAAUUUACGGUGUAGCGGUGAAAUGCGUAGAUAUCGUAAGGAAGACCAGUGGCGAAGGCGGGUCUCUGGACAGUUCCUGACGCUGAGGCACGAGGGUCAGGGGAGCAAACGGG
rnacentral:rRNA from 1 species